AGAUGAAUGGCUGAGUGGUUUAAAGCACCAAUUUUGAAAAUUGGCAUAAGAUUAAAACUUAUCGUGGGUUCGAAUCCUACUUCAUCUA
rnacentral:tRNA from 1 species